rnacentral:rRNA from 1 species
CAGCCGUAAACAAUGUGCGUUAGGUGUGUCGGUAACCACGCGUUACUGAUGCGCCGAAGAGAAAUUGUGAAACGCACCACCUGGGAAGUACGGUCGCAAGGCUGAAACUUAAAGGAAUUGGCGGGGGAGCACCACAACAGGUGGAGCCUGCGGUUUAAUUGGAUUCAACGCCGGACAUCUCACCGGAUAAGACAGCUAAAUGAUUGUCAAUCUGAAGGUUUUACAUGACUAGCUGAGAGGAGGUGCAUGGCGUCAGUGACU